UACAGAGGUGGCAAGCGUUGUUCGGAAUUACUGGGCGUAAAGGGCGCGUAGGCGGCCUUCUCAGUCAGACGUGAAAUCCCCGGGCUUAACUUGGGAACUGCGUCUGAUACUGGGAGGCUUGAAUGCGGGAGAGGGAUGUGGAAUUCCAGGUGUAGCGGUGAAAUGCGUAGAUAUCUGGAGGAACACCGGUGGCGAAGGCGGCAUCCUGGACCGACAUUGACGCUGAGGCGCGAAAGCUAGGGGAGCAAACGGG
rnacentral:rRNA from 1 species